AGGAAGAUCAAUUUCUACGCCUUCUUGCAUGUGCCACACUGAUCGUUUCUCACGUUUGGAAUUUCUAUGCCCAAUCCUCUAUCUUCUUCCCCUUUCCCUUUUGUUGUCUUCGCCUGAUUGACGUUGUAUUAUUCAUGUCCUGCCCAAUCAGUUUUACAGGGACUCAAUCUUGGUGUGGAUUGGGCAUCACAUUGUCGUCAGCCUUGGGUGUUCAGGUGCUGAUCUUGGUGUCAAUUGCUGCCUCACGUUUCCAUCAACUUCAGCUGGUUACAUGUUUCUUGGGACUUCAGCUGGUUACAUGUUUCUUGGGAAUAAACGAAUGAUAUAAUUAUGAUGUCAAUUUGGUCGGCAAAUACUGCUACUUCUGGAAUCUGAAGUGUACACCCUAUGCAUUUCAGUCUAUUUUACUGCUGGUCUAUCUUGAUCUUCAUAGAAUCGUUGAUGUUGCUUUGGAUAAGUCUAUUAAAGAAAUUAUAGGCCCUGUUAUUUAAAGAAGGGUUACAAUAGCUGCCCGAACUACUAAGGUGCUUAUUCUUAAGGUGAACGUCAUGGACUAUUUCCCUAGCUGUACAUGUCCAUUAGCCAUUUGUCUUCCUGUAGUUGAAAAGUUUCUAACAGGCUUGCAUAUUUGCCCUGCGGGAUUGGGCAAUGGAAUCUGAUGAUAGUGUAGUAUCUCGCGCUGCACAUUUCAUGGUUGGCGUGCUAGCUGGAAGUCUAGCUCAUGUAACUUCCUGUAUAUUUUUGCAUAAGGCUCUUAGUGUAGUUUUUCAGUUGUAGUUACAGCCCCAGCACGUUGAUUAUUAAAUUCAUUUAGGUUUAGAUUUAAUGUGUAAUGCUAUAUUCAGUUGUCUUGUCUUCUACUGCAUGAGCGUUUUUGUGUUGUUUUAUCAUCUCAUCUUCAAAGUCUCAUUCAGAACCUGAGCAAUAACAGUGAAACCACUGAACAGAUUGUUCAUAUUCUGAUUAAUGAUACUCUAUAUCUUGAUGUGCGUUAAUAGAGACUAUUGCAGCACACACGGUACCUCUUCACUUUUUAUUUGUUUUGGUUUAUAUAUCUGGUCGUUACGAUGGGAAGUAGCCAAUGGUAUGGUGUUGCUUCACUUACUAUGCUAUCAGCCAUUUUUGGACUUUUUAACUUCGCUACCAAAGGCAUACGUAGGCCUUAGAUAUAUGCAUUAUAGCAGAAAUAUGGAAUGUUCUGUUAAUGCGUCACAACAUCAAUGAGGAUCUUGCAGGCUAUUGAGAUGAUUGAUGGAGAACUCAAGCAGCCUUUUGCCAAUAACUUGUUGCCGUUCAUGUCCAUUUUGACGUCGGCUGCCUCUGAACAGCAUGUUGCUUAGAGUAGCAUUUAGAGUGGUCAAAGAGACUGAAUUUAUCCUUCACUAUUAUUUGGCGCUUCUCCAAUUCAAGGCGAGUGAUACAACCUGAAUCUUUCAUUUUAUUCCCCUAGAUUUUACUAGAUGCUACUGCUAAUGGUUCUUGUGAAGACGAGCUACAUUUAUUAUCUGUGGGCUAAUUCAGUUUUUCGAAGUGAAUUGGGUCACACAGAGAAUCAACGCACACUAAAUCAGUUUGAUUGGCAAUUAUUGGGCUACAGAUUGAAACAUGCUUUUCCAGAUGGAACCAUCAGCAAAAAAUUCAAAGCAGACAUAUGUCUUUUCUUUGCCCAAGCAACAAGACAAGCUGGUGGCACUGGUUUGCAGGACAUUGUCGGUUCAUGAAUUUUAUCGUUUGCGCUUUGAUGUGCUAGCACGAGGCUAUAAAGAUUUUGAACAUGCUCAAGCUACAUGGAAAGCCAAUAAGAGUAAAUCUUCGACUUCAAAUUCUUGUUCUGAUUUUUAUAGAACUAUUGCUUUCCGUGGCUCCUCGCCGACACGCGAAACAGUGGCUUCUUCCAGCGGCCGAAGCAGCCGCGUAGCCAAUAUGCCUCGUGUGGAUUCUCUUGGUCGUCAGCCUGCGAGAAGCCUCCGCUAUCGGUCCAGCCGACCAUUGAUGUGAAGGGCCAGACAAUUGUUGAUAAGUACACGUUGCUUGUGCUCACCAUGCCGCCGAGGGGCACGAUGACGCCGUACGGCUUGAGGGGAGGCGGAGAAGUGAUUAAGCAACCACAGUGUAUUCCCGUGACAUUGUUGAAAUACAUAUGUUUGAUGGUCUGUUUUGUAGGACGUACUCCCUCUGUAAACUAAUAUAAGAGCGUUUAGAUCACUACUUUAGUAUUCUAAAAGCUCUUAUAUUAGUUUACGGAGGGAGUAAAAUAAUUGUACGUUCAUGAUUGCUCGUUCAGCAAGAUUUCAUGUACAUGUGCUACUCUAAUCGUAACAAACUGAAAAGUUUAACUGACAA